rnacentral:rRNA from 1 species
UACGAGGGGUGCAAGCGUUAUUCGGAUUAACUGGGCGUAAAGGGUGUGUAGGUGGUAUAUUAAGUCCGCUGUUUAAUUCCUCAGCUUAACUGAGGGUCGGCGGUGGAUACUGGUGUACUAGAGGAUGGAAGAGAGAAGUGGAAUUCUCGGAGUAGCGGUAAAAUGCGUAGAUCUCGAGAGGAACACCAAUGGCGAAGGCAGCUUCUUGGUCCAUUUCUGACACUGAAACACGAAAGCGUGGGGAGCAAACAGG